UACGGGGGGAGCAAGCGUUGUUCGGAUUUACUGGGCGUAAAGGGCGCGUAGGCGGCCAGCACAAGUCAGUUGUGAAAUCUCCGGGCUUAACUCGGAAAGGUCAACUGAUACUGUGCGGCUAGAGUGCAGAAGGGGCAACUGGAAUUCUCGGUGUAGCGGUGAAAUGCGUAGAUAUCGAGAGGAACACCUGCGGCGAAGGCGGGUUGCUGGGCUGGCACUGACGCUGAUGCGCGAAAGCCAGGGGAGCGAACGGG
rnacentral:rRNA from 1 species